UCAGUUGUGAAAGUUUGCGGCUCAACNGUAAAAUUGCAGUUGAUACUGGGGACCUUGAGUGCGGCAGAGGCAGGCGGAAUUCGUGGUGCAGCGGUGAAAUGCUUAGAUAUCACGAAGAACUCCGAUUGCGAAGGCAGCUUGCUGGACCGUAACUGACGUUGAUGCUCGAAAGUGCGGGUAUCAAACAGGAUUAGAUACCCUGGUAGUCCGCACAGUAAACGAUGAAUACUCGCUGUUGGCGAUAUACUGCCAGCGGCCAAGCGAAAGCGUUAAGUAUUCCACCUGGGGAGUACGCCGGCAACGGUGAAACUCAAAGGAAUUGACGGGGGCCCGCACAAGCGGAGGAACAUGUGGUUUAAUUCGAUGAUACGCGAGGAACCUUACCCGGGCUUGAACUGCAGCGGAAUGAUUUGGAAACAGAUCAGCGAGCAAUCGCCGCUGUGGAGGUGCUGCAUGGUUGUCGUCAGCUCGUGCCGUGAGGUGUCGGCUUAAGUGCCAUAACGAGCGCAACCCUUACCGAUAGUUGCCAUCAGGUGACGCUGGGGACUCUAUCGGGACUGCCGUCGUAAGAUGUGAGGAAGGUGGGGAUGACGUCAAAUCAGCACGGCCCUUACGUCCGGGGCUACACACGUGUUACAAUGGGGGGUACAGAGGGCCGCUGCACGGCGACGUUCGGCCAAUCCCUAAAUCCCCUCCCAGUUCGGACCGGAGUCUGGAACCCGACUCCGCGAAGCUGGAUUCGCUAGUAAUCGCGCAUCAGCCAUGGCGCGGUGAAUACGUUCCCGGGCCUUGUACACACCGCCCGUCAAGCCAUGAAAGCCGGGGNNNCCUGAAGUGCGCUUCCGCGAGGGGCGCCCUAGGGUAAAACCGGUGAUUGGGGCUAAGUCGUAACAAGGUAACCA
rnacentral:rRNA from 1 species